CCAAACUGCAAGAGCGUGUAUCGGUUACAGCGUCAGUUUUCUAUUUGUCAGUGUAGACAUAUUUUUUAUGUAAUACAUUAAGAUUUAAUGAAAGAGAACUCGUGAAAAAGGUUCAUCUCCUGCACUCAAAAAUCCUUUCAUUUUCUUAAAACCACUAAUCUCUCCUCUCCCGCGCGAGAAGUCUUCGAAUGCAGCCAAACAAUCGAACAAACAAGUAAUGUUCUUUCUUCUUCUUCUUCUAGCAUAGUUACUUGUCAUGUCUUGCAGGAAUUUGAAAAUGCUGCUAAAAGACCUCUUUCCCUCUCUGAGUUGCGAGCUGUUAUUCCCUUGGAGCUAGUCUCUCUCUAAAGAUGCCGAGGCAUUCCAUACCUCCCUCCUGUAGUAAUAUUUUUCUAUCGUUUAAUCUAGAGAACAUGCAUUUCGUCCUGCAAGUUUCAAGAUCUUGGCCAUAUUAACUUCUUAGAUAAAGCCUCUCACUGUAUUGUUCUAUGGAUUUCAGGGAAAGAAAAAGGAAGGAAAUGCCACGAAAUACAUCACCCAGUCCAAAGCUAUUAAAUACUUGCAAUUGUUGUAAGUUUUUGUUCAUUCAUGUCGGAGGUGAUGAGCCAAACCCAAAGUCGCUUAGAGGAGAUUUCGAGUACUCAUAAAAGUCAUACACCAGAUCAUUCUUGAAUGGGACGGUAUGUACUCGCCUGUAGAUGGAAGUCCCUUCUAAAUCUAAAGCAUCUCCCAUUUGCAUCUACCUACCUCUCCAAAGGAUCACUAUCCAUGUUUGCAACUUCAACAUAGCUUCAAAGGUAAAGACAUUAUUUGCAAAUUUGUUGGUAGACUCAGUUUUGAAAAUUAGUGCCAAGAAUUCAAAAGUUGAUUGUCCCCAAUGAAAUGCUUCUGUUGAUGCCCAUCAAGAUCUCCAUGAGGAUUAUAUUUCUAAAGAGGAUUUGUUAGGGUUUGGAGCCAUUUGUUACAACCCAACAGAUUUCCUUGAUGCAAGACUAGGCUGAACCAUAAUGAAAGGAGCGACAAUAGGCAUGGCAUGGUUGAAGAUAUUUUGAAAUCAACAUUUUACAUUUUUAUUGUGAUUUAUUUAUAUAUGUAACAACAGAUUGUUACUUUUUAGUAAUAUAGAUGUCUGAAGUUUACAUUUUGAUGUA